rnacentral:rRNA from 1 species
UAAGCGGAGGAAAAGAAACCAACAGGGAUUGCCCCAGUAGCGGCGAGUGAAGCGGCAAGAGCUCAGAUUUGGAAUCGUGUUUCGGCACGAGUUGUAAAUUGCAGGUUGGAGUCUUUGUGGAAGCGUGUGUCCAAGUCCCUUGGAACAGGGCGCCAUUGAGGGUGAGAGCCCCGUGGGAUGCGCGCGGAAGCAGCAAGGCCCUUCUGACGAGUCGAGUUGUUUGGGAAUGCAGCUCUAAGCGGGUGGUAAAUUCCAUCUAAGGCUAAAUACUGGCGAGAGACCGAUAGCGAACAAGUACUGUGAAGGAAAGAUGAAAAGCACUUUGAAAAGAGAGUGAAACAGCACGUGAAAUUGUUGAAAGGGAAGGGUAUUGGGCCCGACAUGGGGAUUGCGCAUCUCUGCUCCUUGUGGGCGGGGCGCUGUGCUUUCCCUGGGCCAGCAUCGGUUUUUGCCGCAGGAGAAGGGGUACUGGAAUGUGGCUCCUCGGAGUGUUAUAGCCAGUGCCAGAUGCUGCGUGCGGGGACCGAGGGCUGCGACAUCUGUCU